UACAUGUGGGGCAAGCGUUGUUCGGAAUUACUGGGCGUAAAGCGCGCGUAGGCGGCUUUGCAAGUCGGGUGUGAAAUCCCCAGGCUUAACCUGGGAACUGCAUUCGAGACUGCAUUGCUAGAGUAUGGGAGAGGGAAGUGGAAUUUCCGGUGUAGCGGUGAAAUGCGUAGAUAUCGGAAGGAACAUCAGUGGCGAAAGCGACUUCCUGGACCAAUACUGACGCUCAUGUGCGAAAGCGUGGGGAGCAAACAGG
rnacentral:rRNA from 1 species